rnacentral:rRNA from 1 species
AUGGCGGCUGGUGGCUGCAACGUCAAUGCGAGCUAGCAUAUCAAGCAUCUGCUCAAGAGUGACGCCCUGUACAAGUAUAUCCUGGAUACCACGGUGUUCCCCCGAGAGCCGGAGUGCAUGCGCGACCUGCGCCUCCUCACCCACAAGCACCAGAGGGGCAUCAUGCAGUCAACUCCGGAGGAGGCCCAGCUGCUGCAACUGCUGAUCAAGAUAGCGGGGGCCAGGAACACGAUCGAGGUCGGCGUGUUCACGGGCUACUCGCUCCUCGCCACCGCGCUGGCGCUGCCAGACGAUGCCAAGGUGGUGGCCAUCGAUGUCAACCGGAAAGACUUCGAGCUCGGCCUGCCCUUCAUCCAGAAGGCCGGCGUGGCGCACAAGGUGGACUUCCGCGAGGGCAAGGCGCUCGACCGCCUCGAGGAGCUCCUCGCCGCCGUGGAUAGCGACCCUGCGGUGUAGUACGACUUCGCGUUUGUGUACGCCGACAAGCAGAACUACAGGCGGUACCACGAGCAAAUGAUGCGGCUGGUCCGCGUCGGCGGCACCAUCGUCUACGUGAACACGCUCUGGGGCGGCACUGUGGCCGGCGUCGCCGUGCCUUCGUUAGACGUUCUCCCCGACGGUGUCCUCGCGUCCAUCUCUGACUUCCUCAAGGGCUUCAACGCCGAGCUCGCCGCUGACCCGCGCGUCGACGUCUGCCAGAUCGUCGUGGGAGACGGCCUCACCAUCUGCCGCCGCAUCGUCUGA